GGGGGUGAUCGGUUUCGACAGUGGUCGGCUGAUCAGGGGAAGCGGGUCGAGGACGUACGGUUAUCUCGUUAACGCUCCGUGCAAACCAAUAGGUGCCGAUUCCAAGCGCACCGACUUCGCCCUCGCUGCCUGAGCGAGCCCGAAGUCCGUUGGCCUAAGUGUGAUCUCGGCUUAGUCACCAGCGUCAUCUAGAGAUCUUGCUGCACCGGCUGGUCGGGGGUCGGUGCGGGACUGCUACUCGACUGGGCCUGUGUCAGGGAACGUGUGCGUGCGAGCCCUGAGGCCGAGAAACUCCACAGCGCACUGCACCCGGAGAAGCCCUGGUUUCCCGUCAUUGGACGCGGGUUCAAUUCCCGCCACCUCCACCA
rnacentral:tmRNA from 1 species